GCCGAAGUAAGCUCUGUUUCUCGAGAACUAGUUAGGUGUUUAGUCUGAUCUAGAGAGGCUAGCUCGAUAGUUUAGAAGUGUAUCAGGUGUAUUAUCUCGCUUGUUGUCCUCCCAGCUCUACCUCUCUAAGGUUUAGAAUCUUCAUGUGUCACUUGGUCAUUGCUUGGCCAUUUAUCUCACUACCUAUCUGGCUUACCCCCGUCUAGUCAGUCGGUCGAUUAAGCUAGUAUGGUUAUCAAUCGAUUUAUGAUACUCUUUACCAUAGUGCUUCCCUGUGGAAAAAUACGAUACCCUGGAAUACUCCAAGGUGAAGUGCUACAACGGUGAUUCUGUGUGCUUGCAGAAUAUCUAUUCUAAUCGGGCAUAAGAAACGCCAACAGACAUCAAUACGAGGCAAGUGGAUUUCUCAAUCAGGGCGCACACAUUCGCUCCAAGGUACGCUAUACCUAGUGUUGUACAUGUUUUAAAGCCGUCCGCAGAGUUCAGACAGGAGGGGUUCCUACUUGAGUAUAUGGCCAAUUUGGAUUCGUGCUGAUGUUCUUCCACUGGGCGACCCAACGGCAAUCCAGUUAGCCGCGAGCACGAACGCAUCGAGCAACUUUCCACUCCGAUACACACUGUACCCACAACCCCAAGGUUACCAUGGUGCGGGGACUUCUAGACAAGGAUGUGGACAAGGAGGUGGACAUGAAGCACUUCGUCUGCAAGUACGUAUGGUUCCAUUUGUCUAUACAUUGCCCUAACUACAUACUUUAGCACCAAAAUAAUCCGUAAGCUGUAAUACCUCAUGCACAUUCUCAUGCAGAUCUGAUUGAAGAAGAAGAUUCGCCUCCUCAAGACAAACGGGGAUCUGGUUCCAUCGAAGUAAUGGAGACACCACUGAGCACACCAUCGGAUCACACACAGCCAAUGGACAUAGCGGAGGACGACCAGGAAGAAUCCAACCACGACGAAGACGAAGAAUUACUAUGCUCUGGAGAAUAAUAAUUACAAAGAUGAGGAGACACUGGAAGCGGCAAGCACUCAAGAAAGUUGUGCCUGAUGCCACGACUAUGUGCCCAUCCUCUGUCGUACCCAUGGAGCAACACCGUUGUCGCCGCCGUGAGACUCUCGUUGCAUAAUGUGUGCUUGAAUCAUUUCGCUUUGUAUGUGAUAGUAAGAACUAGUAGCUAGUUGUAUGGAUUGAAUGUUAUGUUUGUUGUAAUGUAUGGGCUUCUAUCAUUUACCGUGCGGAUGUAAUGUAUGGACACGUAAUUUUCGCCCCUAGUAUGGACUUCUAUCUUAGUAAUACGCGUAUGGUAUAAAUUUCAGCUUUUUU